rnacentral:rRNA from 1 species
CCAGACUCCUACGGGAGGCAGCAGUGGGGGAUAUUGCACAAUGGGGGCAACCCUGAUGCAGCGACGCCGCGUGAGCGAUGGAGUACUUCGGUAUGUAAAGCUCUGUCAGCAGGGAAGAGAAUGACGGUACCUGACCAAGAAGCCCCGGCUAACUACGUGCCAGCAGCCGCGGUAAUACGUAGGGGGCAAGCGUUAUCCGGAUUUACUGGAUGUAAAGGGAGCGUAGACGGUGAUGCAAGUCAGAAGUGAAAGCCCGGGGCUCAACUCCGGGACUGCUUUUGAAACUGUGUGACUGGAGUGCAGGAGAGGUAAGCGGAAUUCCUGGUGUAGCGGUGAAAUGCGUAGAUAUCAGGAGGAACACCAGUGGCGAAGGCGGCUUACUGGACUGUAACUGACGUUGAGGCUCGAAAGCGUGGGGAGCAAACAGGAUUAGAUACCCGAGUA